CAGCCGCCACGGGAAUACGUAGGGAGCAAGCGUUGUUCGGAUUUACUGGGCGUAAAGGGCGCGUAGGCGGCGCGGUAAGUCACUUGUGAAAUCUCUGAGCUUAACUCAGAACGGCCAAGUGAUACUGCUGUGCUAGAGUGCGGAAGAGGCAACCGGAAUUCUUGGUGUAGCGGUGAAAUGCGUAGAUAUCAAGAGGAACACCUGAGGCGAAGGCGGGUUGCUGGGCCGACACUGACGCUGAUGCGCGAAAGCCAGGGGAGCAAACGGGAUUAGAUACCCCUGUAGUCCCUGUCUCUUAUAC
rnacentral:rRNA from 1 species